UGCAGUCGAGCGGACAGAAGGGAGCUUGCUCCCGGAUGUUAGCGGCGGACAGGUGAGUAACACGUGGGUAACCUGCCUGUAAGACUGGGAUAACUCCGGGAAACCGGAGCUAAUACCGGAUAGUUCCUUGAACCGCAUGGUUCAAGGAUGAAAGACGGUUUCGGCUGUCACUUACAGAUGGACCCGCGGCGCAUUAGCUAGUUGGUGGGGUAAUGGCUCACCAAGGCGACGAUGCGUAGCCGACCUGAGAGGGUGAUCGGCCACACUGGGACUGAGACACGGCCCAGACUCCUACGGGAGGCAGCAGUAGGGAAUCUUCCGCAAUGGACGAAAGUCUGACGGAGCAACGCCGCGUGAGUGAUGAAGGUUUUCGGAUCGUAAAGCUCUGUUGUUAGGGAAGAACAAGUGCGAGAGUAACUGCUCGCACCUUGACGGUACCUAACCAGAAAGCCACGGCUAACUACGUGCCAGCAGCCGCGGUAAUACGUAGGUGGCAAGCGUUGUCCGGAAUUAUUGGGCGUAAAGGGCUCGCAGGCGGUUUCUUAAGUCUGAUGUGAAAGCCCCCGGCUCAACCGGGGAGGGUCAUUGGAAACUGGGAAACUUGAGUGCAGAAGAGGAGAGUGGAAUUCCACGUGUAGCGGUGAAAUGCGUAGAGAUGUGGAGGAACACCAGUGGCGAAGGCGACUCUCUGGUCUGUAACUGACGCUGAGGAGCGAAAGCGUGGGGAGCGAACAGGAUUAGAUACCCUGGUAGUCCACACCGUAAACGAUGAGUGCUAAGUGUUAGGGGGUUUCCGCCCCUUAGUGCUGCAGCUAACGCAUUAAGCACUCCGCCUGGGGAGUACGGUCGCA
rnacentral:rRNA from 1 species